rnacentral:tRNA from 1 species
GCUUAGUUGGUAUAGCGCUCGUCUAGCAAACAAGAGUCCUGGGUUCAAAUCCCAG